rnacentral:rRNA from 1 species
UACGAGGGGGGCGAGCGUUGUUCGGAAUUAUUGGGCGUAAAGGGCGCGUAGGCAGUCGGAUAAGUCUUGUGUGAAAUCUUCGGGCUCAACUCGAAGUCUGCACAGGAAACUAUCUGGCUUGAGUGUGGGAGAGGUGAGUGGAAUUCCUGGUGUAGCGGUGAAAUGCGUAGAUAUCAGGAGGAACACCUGUGGCGAAAGCGGCUCACUGGACCACAACUGACGCUGAGGCGCGAAAGCUAGGGGAGCAAACAGG